rnacentral:rRNA from 1 species
AGGAAUAUUGGACAAUGGGCGCAAGCCUGAUCCAGCCAUUCCGCGUGUAGGAUGACGGCCCUCUGGGUUGUAAACUACUUUUAUUUGGGAAGAAACCCUGGGAUUUAUCCUGGGCUGACGGUACCAAAAGAAUAAGCACCGGCUAAUUCCGUGCCAGCAGCCGCGGUAAUACGGAAGGUGCAAGCGUUAUCCGGAAUCACUGGGUUUAAAGGGUGCGUAGGCGGUUGCGUAAGUCAGAAGUGAAAGCUCACAGCUUAACUGUGGAAUUGCUUUUGAUACUGCGCGACUAGAAUCAGGUUGAGGUUGGCGGAAUGUGACAUGUAGCGGUGAAAUGCAUAGAUAUGUCAUAG